rnacentral:lncRNA from 1 species
CUAGAACACAAAAAUCAAAGACCAGGACAGAACUCUUGAGCUAUUCUGGAACAUAUUCAGGACUUUGUGAUUGCCUUGUAGAAACUGACCCUUUUAUGGUAGAUAAGUUGGAAUUUGAUAGAGUGCUUACAUCUCAAAAUGCUUCCCUACUCAAAAUACUGUUGAAAUUUAUAAAUUUUAUUAUUUAAAAAAGGGAAAAUUAUAACUAUUUUAUGGUUUCACAGUCAGGUAAAGGCAGAUAAGGUAAGAGUCUGAGACUGUAUCUUAUAUGUCAGAUAAGAAGGGUUGGAGAAUUUUAGUCAAAGAUCACAGAAUUUACUUGCUUUAAUUCCAAAACAAAUUCAAGCAUAUCUAGUUCUCUAUGUUUCUCCUCCUCUUUUCAGAGCAAGAUCAAAUUCAUCAAUAUAUGGACAAUUUAAGAGGCUUUUAUUCCAACCAUUCCUGAGGAACCAAAUUCUGCCAACAACCAUGUGAACGAGCUUUGAAAGUGAUCUUUUUCCAGUUGACCUUUGAGAUAGUACAACUCUAGUUGACACUUUGAUUACAACAAGUGAGAGACCCUGAAGCAGAGGAACAAGUGAAGCCACCCCUGGAUUUCUGAUUUAUAGAAACUGUGCAAUAACAAUUAUUUUAAGCUACUGAGUUAUGGGACAGUUAUGCAGCAAUAGAUUACUGCUAUAGUCCUCCAUCUUGAGACUUGUGUUAACUUCUCCCCUAUUGAAUGGCUAGAUAUACAAGGAACCAACUAAGAGUUCUAUCAAAUAUUAAAUAAAGAUGAGAUUAAAUAGACUUAUUACAUGAUGGCAUAUUUAAAAUAGCAAUAUCAUCUAUUAGGGUGAUGCUCUUUUAUAACUAUUUGCUUGUCA